UUUAUGGAGAGUUUGAUCCUGGCUCAGGAUGAACGCUGGCGGCGUGCCUAAUACAUGCAAGUCGAGCGAACAGAUGAGGAGCUUGCUCCUUUGAUGUUAGCGGCGGACGGGUGAGUAACACGUGGGUAACCUACCUAUAAGACUGGAAUAACUCCGGGAAACCGGGGCUAAUGCCGGAUAACAUGUUGAACCGCAUGGUUCAACAGUGAAAGACGGUCUUGCUGUCACUUAUAGAUGGACCCGCGCCGUAUUAGCUAGUUGGUAAGGUAACGGCUUACCAAGGCAACGAUACGUAGCCGACCUG
rnacentral:rRNA from 1 species